rnacentral:rRNA from 1 species
AUGGGAUAUAUGUUAUCAAUUCGGAAUAGCUUGGCAGAAUAUUUUAGCGAACUAAACAAAAAAUUGCCAAAGCCAGAAAAGACUGAAAUACCAAAAGGAGAAACACUAUAUCUUAUAUUUGAUGGAAAUAAACCUGGCAUAUAUUUGGAAUGGGAAAAUAUUAUGAUUGAAAAAUUAGAUGCAAAAAGAAAAGGACAAGAUUUAACAUUCAAAAGAUAUUAUAGUAUAGAUGAUGCCUUACUUUGGGCAAAAAAGGUAUUAGGACCAGAUUAUUAUAUUGACCCAAAGGCUAAAGAUUAUAUCCAAAUGAGAAGAGGCAUACCUACUUCACCACUCCCACAAAGGGGGAGGCAGCAAGCUCAAAAAAUAUAA